CCUACGGGGGGCUGCAGUGGGGAAUAUUGCACAAUGGGCGCAAGCCUGAUGCAGCCAUGCCGCGUGUGCGAAGAAGGCCUUCGGGUUGUAAAGCACUUUCAGCGGGGAGGAAGGCGUUAAGGUUAAUAACCUUGGCGAUUGACGUUACCCGCAGAAGAAGCACCGGCUAACUCCGUGCCAGCAGCCGCGGUAAUACGGAGGGUGCAAGCGUUAAUCGGAAUUACUGGGCGUAAAGCGCACGCAGGCGGUCUGUCAAGUCGGAUGUGAAAUCCCCGGGCUCAACCUGGGAACUGCAUUCGAAACUGGCAGGCUAGAGUCUUGUAGAGGGGGGUAGAAUUCCAGGUGUAGCGGUGAAAUGCGUAGAGAUUUGGAGGAAUACCGGUGGCGAAGGCGGCCCCCUGGACAAAGACUGACGCUCAGGUGCGAAAGCGUGGGGAGCAAACAGGAUUAGAUACCGUGUAGUC
rnacentral:rRNA from 1 species